GAUGGCUGAUAUGCAUGUCCUUGUAGAUUAUAUGCAAGCCAAAUCUUAAAGAGGAAGACAUGUUGCUCAUUACCAAGUCUUACACAUAGUUUUGGGUCUCCUUCAAAUGGAUUGUGGAUGUCUGGUGAAAUUUCAAUUACCAAAUGAAUACUCUGCUUAUGCUUAUCCUAAUCGAUAUCAUCAUUUGAGGGGCUUUCUUGUAAGACUGAAUUUUCAACUGAAUUCCUGAGUUAGUGA
rnacentral:lncRNA from 1 species